rnacentral:lncRNA from 1 species
UGUCGGUGUCAAAACCGGCGGAUCUAGGGUAGGGGGUCCCGAACUGUGCGUCUAGGCGGAUGGUAACAGGAGACGAGGGACACAAUGUUUUUACCCAGGUUCAGGCCCUCUCGAUGGAGGUAAUACCCUACGUCCUGCUUGAUUAAUAUUGAUGAUAUGGGUAGUACAAGAGUAGAUCUACCACGAGAUCAAUGAGGCUAAACCCUAGAAGCUAGCCUAUGGUAUGAUUGUUGAGAUGUAAUGUUGUGUCCUACGGACAACAGCCCUCCGGUUUAUAUAGACACCGGAGGGGCUAGGGUUACACAGAGUCGGUUACAAUGGUAGGAGAUCUACAUAUCCGUAUUGCCAAGCUUGCCUUCCACGCCAAGUAAAGUACCUUCCGGACACGAGCCGGAGUCUUCAAUCUUCUAUCUUCGUAGUCUGGGAGUCCGGCGGAUAUUGAUAGUCCGGCUGUCCGGACACCCCUAGUCCAGGACUCCCUCAGUAGCCCCUGAACCAGUCUUCAAUGACGAUAAGUCCGGUGUACAUAAUGUUCGGCAUUGCAAGGCGGGUUCCCCCCUUGAAUAAUCCGGAGAAGAUAAUGAACACCAGGAUAGUGUCCGGCUCUGCAAAAUAAUUUCCACAUUCCAACGUAGAGAGAAUAAAAUACACACUUAAUUCAAUCUGCUGACGUAUUACCAGCGUGAUGUCACACCGCAGCCAAGCCCUCGUUUGAAUCGUUUUUAUUAUUCCGCCUCAGCACGUUUAGCGAAGCGGCUUCCUUGGCACGUCCUGUCGAAGCAGAGAUCGUGUUCCCUUUUAUUCCGGGAUCCUCAUCAAUACGUGCGUGGGUAACCCAACCGUUCCCGUCGCCACGCCUCCUCUAUCGAAGGGGAAUCUCGAACGGUCAUGGAGACGGCCCUUGGUAUUAUUUCCCCUUUAUAAGAGGACCAAGGCCUGUCCUUGUCUUUUAACCUCGCAUCGAAUCUUUCCUCUGCUCCCAGUUCCAACACCAAGAGCUUCAGACUCGAGCGCUUCGGAUCCACAGCAAUGUCCGGCUCCGACCUCCAGGGCCGGUGGGUGCCCUCCUCCGUCACGGAGGAGGACAUAUUGAAGUUGCGUGAGGCCAAGUACCUGGCUUACGAAGUCUCGCACAGGUUACCUUCCCCUGGGCAGGCCGUGCCAACCCCCGAGCCCGGCGAAUGUGUCGUUUUCGCAUCCCACCUCCGUCGGGGAUUAGGCUUCCCGACGGAUCCUUUCGUGAGGGGGCUCCUGUUCUUCUACGGGCUGGACUUCCACGACUUGGCACCGGAGUCCAUCCUCCAUAUCUUCGCAUUCAUUAUUGUCUGCGAAGCCUUCCUCCGCGUCAUCCCCCACUUCGGCCUGUGGCUGAAAACAUUCAAGGUGGAGCCGAAGAUGAUCGGGGGGCGUCGAGCGGAAUGUGGCGGGGCGACCAUAAGCAAGAAGGUCGAUGCCCCGUGGCUCGAAGGUUCCUUCCAAGAGGAACAGGGAUUGUGGCAGCAGGAGUGGUUCUACAUCACCGCUCCAAGGGGCAGCAAGCAAAAUCCGCCGCCCUCCUUCCGCCCGGGACCUCCACAGCAACUGAUGUCGUGGGUCAACCAAGGGCUCAACUGGGGGCCGUCCAAGGACGUGCCCGCACUGCAGGGCCGGAUUCGGGACCUCCAAACGAGGGAGAUUGAUCUGGUCAAGGUGAUGCAGGUCAUGCUAACUAGGCACCUCCUACCCUGCAAACGUCGUCCUCUCCGUUUAUGGGAGUUCAAUCCGGAGGGACCUCGUAUCCUCCAGCAUUUCAUGGGUGCGACACCCUUGGAGAUGUACGAGCUGUUCUUCGGACCGCAAGUGGCGUGUCCGGAUUCGGCCGAGGACGCUGGACUAAGCCGCGAUCGUCCGGAUACUCAGGUAAAUAGCUCAAAGCCCGGACAUCCCGCUUUGUAUGCCUUUCAAGAGAUCGUCUCCUGACCCUUUGUUCUUUUAUAGGAAUGGGUGGCGCGAUCAAAGCUGAGAAGGUGUCCGGCCCCCCUCCCAGAGACCGCACUGGAGCCCGUGCUGGUCAAAAUGUUGGAGGUUGCGCCCGCAGAGGGGGGCGACGGGGGAGAUAAAGGAGCUAAUACUUCGUCCAAAGGGGCGACCGAAGAGGAGGGAAUCAAGGAUCCCUCCCUUCAGGGGGAGAAGAGGACCGCCUCCGAAGAUCCGGAGGCCCCAGCCCCUAAGCGUGGGAAGAAAUCCCCACCGGGGGAUCCGGCGUCCGGAGAGAAUCCGGACGCGCAAUCAUCGCCCAAGGACCAGCCCUCCAACGAACCGUGAGUAUGAAAGAGGAAGUUUAAUAAAAAAAGUACCUUCGUUUAUGCUUCUGUAGGUAACCGAAAUAUUUAUAUCGCAGUUCGGAUCUGCAGCCGUCUCAGAUGAGUUCGUCCUCGGGGGAUCUUCUUCCGGAGAUGAUGGAGAGCGAUACGCCUCCGUCCGACGCGCCGCCAGAUGAGGCAGGCGAUCCCGAAGUGUCGUCACGGAGGGCGUCCCCGAGUCCGGAGGGGUCGAAGAGUUUAACACCCACCAGAGCCCGGCCGGGAGAACUGAAGAGUUUGCUUGAGAGGGCGUCCAUUUUAGAAGAUCACUGUGCGUUAAUGCGUACGGUGGUUGGAAGGAUUUCGUCCGCUGAAAGCGGAUUGCGUGAUGCUGCCAUGAGCUUGCUGGCGGGAUUUGAGGUAUGCGAAAAUAGCGUACCCCUUCGCUUUUUAACAGUUGUGCAUAUAAAAGAUGCGCCCUGUAUAGAUAGUAGCCCCUGAGACUCGGUAGGUUGUCGAAGACGACAGCGUGCCGAGGAUCGAAAAUCUAAAUAUCUCAGGUAAUAAAUAUCGCCGUUCUGAUACAGGUGGCGGAUAGUCCAGGGGCUAGCCGGACUGAUCAGUUUGCCGAACUGAGUCGGCAACUGGACAUGGCAGAUGCUGACAUAGCACUUGUCAAUCAGCGACUUGAUGAGUCGCAAGGUAAAUAAAUUCUCCAUAGCCGCUUUAUUGAGUGGGUUAAAGCCCUCCUCUGAUAAGUUAUAUGCUGUUUAUACAGACAGUGCUGCUGCUGUGGAGAGACUUCGGGCCGAGCUUGCACAAGCCAAGGAGCAAGCCCGAAGGAGUGAUGCGGCUGCCGCGAGGGCGGCCGAGGAGUUGAAGGCCGAAAAGGCUGCGCAUUGCCUAAGCAGGGCGGAGGUGGCCGGAUUGGCCAAGAAAUUAAAGGAUGCUACCGACCGUAGCGAGGCUCUUGAAAAGGAGCGCCUAUUGGAGCGGGAAGACCUAAAGAAGGCCACCGCCGAGACCAAGGAUGCCCGCUCUGCAAUGCGGGCUAUGAAGGAGGAGCUGCGCCAAGCCGGAGAAAUCACGGCUGGCAGGCCGUUUCUUAUGCGUCGCCGGUUUAUGGAUGCCGGGUAUGCCCAAUUUGAAAAGCAGUGGAGUUCGGAGGAUCCCUACAUGGACUUGGCUGCGAGUGCGGCUGACGCCGUUAAGCACUUCCGGAGCCAGGGGGAUCACGAGGUGGAAGAGUUAUAUUGGACUCAAUUCCACAGUCUGGAUUGCCCUCUUCCGCUGUCGGACAAGUUGGCCGAAUGGGCCGAACUGAAUAGACUGUCCGGGCUGGCUAUGACUGACAUUGUGGCCCAUGUGUGGCCAGAGAGGUCCAAGGCGACGAGCUAUUUUGGCCUACUGCAGCAGUUUCUUGGGGCGGUGCCGCAUAUCAAGGAGAUGAAGCGGUCGGCCUGCAUAGAGGGCGCGCGGAUGGCUCUGGCCCGUGUAAAGGCGCAGUGUCCGGAGAUGGAUGCCACCGCUGUUGCUGCCCAGGGUUCGGAUGGGAACCAGCUUCCUGCCGAACAUUAUUUCAGGGAAGUUACGCGCGGCGCUCGUAUAAUAGAGUCGCAGUGCUCGAAGAAUGUAACGUUCAAUUGAACGCAUUAACUUGUUUAUGAAUGAUUAUAGUAUGAAUGCUUUUUAUACUUGUGCUUCCAAGUAGUAGUACUUCUCCUUGCGGCCGUUUAAGUAUACUUGUGUAUAACCUGAAAGAUGCAGUCUUCGGCUUCAGCCCCCUUGCACAAGGUGCUGGGGUGUUCGCAAAAUAGCGCUUUAUCACACUUUAAUCCGACGUCUCGGUCCUGUUAUAAGGAGGUGGUAGCGUAGCGAACGAGGCAAUCCGGACUAUAAUGCUUUUAUCUCUUUCACUUAGCCAAUGGAGCUCGAGGGUGGGGCUACGACAUAGCCCCUAAAUGGCACCGCACAUCUCCGGAUUCGGGGUGCGUAUGUGCCUGACCGGGAAGCGGCCCUUCGUCAAAGCGGGGAAUUCUAAACAUUCCGUAGUCGAUCAAGUGGCUGACCAGACUCUCGCUAUAACAUGACAGUCAGUUUUCGGCUUUCUCUACUGAGGUGCUCACCCAGCCGAACUGGGGCACAAUCGCAGUAGUUCUCCUGGUGCCGCGUUAGCCGGGUGAUACGGAACGUAAGGCAGCAAAACACAGGAGCCGGGCAAACCCAACAUUUGACCAAAGACAUGAUUCGGAGCUGAUGCAUAUAGUGCCCAACUUGAGACGCCGAACACUCCCUGAGGUGUUCGGACUUUAUGAUAACGGGCAGAAUUAUACCCUAAGCCCCUUGUGUCCAGGUACGGGCAUUGUCUUCUGACGCGGCCAAUGCCAAAUCGUCAGGCUCCGCCUCGGCUGUAGGAAGAAGCCGAGGCCGAUUUAGCAACAAGAGACAGUAAUAAAAAGGUCUACAUAGGGUCUUAAUCUGAAAAGAAUCCUUGCGACGGGUCCCUACUGCACGUCUGCGCCUGUGUCUCCGUUGUGCCGUUAUCCUGGACGGGUACGCACGUUGCUCAUAUGUAGAAAAGAGAGGAACAUUUCAAAAACAGUUCGUGCGAAAAUAAUGCAAAAGAAUAAGCGUAAAUAAUUAAGGCUAGGUUUACAUGAAACCGAUGUUAAUUGUGCGCGCAGCCCCUUGUGAAAGGGUAUGCGGCUAGGGAGCCCCUAGCCUGCUGAGUCCGGAUUCGUCUAUCCGAAUCCGGGGUCUUUAAGUGACCCUCGCACUGAAAUGGUGCCAUGUGGACCGGGCAUCUUAAGUGUAAGAGAUGCGUAAUGCGGUAUGGCAUUGAAGCGGACAAAAGCCUUUCGUCCUAAUAGUGCUUGAUGUUCACUUUUAAAUGGGACGAUGUGGAAAAUUAACUUUUCUCGUCGGAAAUUGUUCGGUGAUCCGAACACGACUUCGAGUAAUAUCGAGCCUGUGCACUUGGCGUAAGGGCCGGGCGUAACUCCUUUGAAGGAAGUGCGGCUGUGUCGAAUUUUGGUAGGGUCUAUCCCCAUCCGACGGAUUGUAUUUGAAUAUAGCAGGUUUAAGUCACUGCCUCCGUCCAUUAGGACGUUUGUGAAUUGUAGUCCGUCUAUUAUCGGAUUCAAUAUCAGGGGAGUCCGUCCCGCGGUUCGAACACUUUUGGAAUAAUCCCGGUGGUCGAAAGUGAUUGGUUUUAAUAUCCAAUCUCUACGGUUUGUGGGGCCGGACCGUGCGAAGCUCUUUUUAGAAAGUGCCGCACUGUUUUUCCGUGUCCUCACAUGAAGCGAGUUUACUGCUUUGACCCCUUGUGGGAAAGUUUUUUGUUUUCCGGUGCCCUGCUGGCGGGGUUUAUCUUCUUCGCUUGACGCGUCGAGCCCCUUGCGUUCGGCGUUUAGUCGGCCGGACUGUUUGAAAACCCAACAAUCCCUGUGGGUGUGAUUUGCAGGCCUUCCGGGGGUACUGUGGAUUUGACAGAUCCGACCCAGGAUUUUGUGUAGGUUAGACAGUUCGUCGCUGUCGUCCUUGAUGGGUUGAGCUUUAUUAUUCGGCCGUGAGCUUUUAAAUCCGGCGUUGACUGCCGUGCUCUUUGGGCUUUUCUCUUUAUUCCGGCGCUGAUCUUUUCUGCGCCGUGAUUUUCCGUUUCCAUCUCUUAUCUCGGAUGUACUUGGGUCGCUGGUGCUGCUUCUUGCCAACCAGCUGUCCUCUCCUGCGCAAAAGCGGGUCAUGAGGCUUGUUAAUGCGGUCAUCGUCCUCGGUUUUUCUUGACCGAGGUGUCUGGUGGGCCAUUCGUCUCGGACAUUGUGCUUGAAAGCUGCUAAGGAUUCGGCGUCCGGACAGUCGACUAUUUGGUUCUUUUUGGUGAGGAACCUGUUCCAGAAUUUCCGCGCUGACUCUCCGGGCUGUUGGGUUAUGUGACUUAGGUCGUCUGCAUCCGAAGGCCGGACAUAAGUCCCUUGAAAGUUUGCUCUAAACGCUUCCUCGAGCUCUUCCCAACUUCCAACAGUGUUUUCUGGGAGGCUUUUGAGCCAAUGACGAGCUGGCCCUUUGAGUUUGAGGGGUAGAUAUUUUAUGGCGUGGAGAUCGUCUCCUCUGGCCAUAUGUAUAUGUAAUAUAUAGUCUUCUAUCCAGACUCGGGGGUCUGUUGUUCCAUCGUAGGCUUCUGUGUUGAUGGGUUUGAACCCUGCUGGGAAUUCAUGUUCCAGCACUUCGUCUGUGAAGCAUAGUGGAUGUGCGGCGCCCCUGUACUUGUACGUGCCGCUGUCGUCGGACACUUGACGUGUUCCUUUGCUAAUUGCGGCUUUCCUUUUGGGUCCAUAGAUGGACCUGGCUGGGCCAUUGGACGGUGGGGGCUUUAUGGCCUCUUCGUCAAAUUCUGGGAGCAGCUUGCGCUUCGGGUAGCUCUUCGGCUGGUGGCUGUUGCCUUGUUUGUCUGCGGUUUUGAGCACUUUGCUCCAUCUUAUCCGGAGCGCGUCUUCCGCUGUGUUGAGCUUCCGCUUUUCCUCCUUCAGGCUUCUUGCUGUAGCGAUGAGCCUGCGUUUGCAAAGAUCUUGUUCGACGGGCUCUUCGAGUUCGUCGUCAUCGGGGCUUGAUUCGUCCUCGGAGGGAGGUACAUAGUUGUGAUCCUCAACCUUUUCUUCUGCCGCCCUUUCGUGAGGGCUUGCUUCUACAUCCUCCUUCGCUGAGUUUUGCUGGAGGGGUUUGUCUUCGGCACUCUCCGUAGUGUUAUUAUCUCCCGUGCCGGAUUCUCCAUUCCUGUUGUGGCGGGAUUUAGAGCGGCGCCGUCGGCGCUUGGGUUGCUUCUCUAGAGAAUCUUCCUCCGCUGCUUUCUCGCCAUCCCCUUCUUUUGGGGUAUCCACCAUGUAGACGUCGUAUGAUGAGGUGGCCUUCCAGUGUCCCGUGGGCGUUGGUUCCUGAUUGUCUCCGGCAUCAUCGUCCAUGACGUCGAUGUCAUCGGAGUCGUAGUCUAGCAUGUCGGUUAGAUCCUCGAUAGUGGCUACAAAGUGGGUGGUGGGUGGGCUCCGAAUUUCUUCGUCGUCCGAACUCCAACCGUCCUGGCCAUAGUCCGGCCAGGAUUCCCCUGAUAGCGAGAGAUGCUUCAGAGAAUUCAAGAUAUCGCCAAAAGACGAGUAUUGAAAGAUGUCCGCGGCGGUGAAUUCCAUAACCGGCGCCCAAUCUGGUUUAAUUGGCAGGGGCGCGGGAGGCUCGGAGUCCGGCGAGGAGUCCGGUGCCUCGGGAUCACGAGUUUCGCGGGGGACAAGAUUGGUAUUCGGCUCCAUUGCCGUAGAUGUUGAAGUCCCCGGGGCGGCGUCUAUCCACCGACCCUCGUCAUGGGCGAUCGGCUCCGGGCAAGUAGCCGGGGUGGAUUCAAGUGCGGCCGCCAGAGCACUGUGCGGCGUCAGAGCUAGAUCAUGCCCAUCGUCACAGUGCGGCGCGCUUGGCUGUGGCUCGAGUCCGUCGAAGAUCAAGUCUCCGCGGUCGUCGGCCGUGAAGUUUAGGCUUCCAAAUCUGACCUGACGGCCAGGGGCGUAGCUUUCGAUCUGCUCCAGAUGGCCAAGAGAGUUGGCCCGCAGUGCAAAGCCGCCGAAUAUGAAGAUCUGUCCGGGGAGAAAAGUCUCGCCCCGGACGGCGCCAAAGAUUGAAGAUGCCAUCGAGCCUAUUGGUGACGACACAGAGGAACUCUCAAUGAAAGCACCAAUGUCGGUGUCAAAACCGGCGGAUCUCGGGUAGGGGGUCCCGAACUGUGCGUCUAGGCGGAUGGUAACAGGAGACGAGGGACACAAUGUUUUUACCCAGGUUCAGGCCCUCUCGAUGGAGGUAAUACCCUACGUCCUGCUUGAUUAAUAUUGAUGAUAUGGGUAGUACAAGAGUAGAUCUACCACGAGAUCAAUGAGGCUAAACCCUAGAAGCUAGCCUAUGGUAUGAUUGUUGAGAUGUAAUGUUGUGUCCUACGGACUACAGCCCUCCGGUUUAUAUAGACACCGGAGGGGCUAGGGUUACACAGAGUCGGUUACAAUGGUAGGAGAUCUACAUAUCCGUAUUGCCAAGCUUGCCUUCCACGCCAAGUAAAGUACCUUCCGGACACGAGCCGGAGUCUUCAAUCUUCUAUCUUCGUAGUCUGGGAGUCCGGCGGAUAUUGAUAGUCCGGCUGUCCGGACACCCCCUAGUCCAGGACUCCCUCAGUG